GGCCAAUUGGCGAAAUGGUAUCGCGUCAGAUUUCGGUCCCAUCGGUUCCGAUCUUUCAAUCUCUGAAGAUUGCAGGUUCGAAUCCUGCAUUGGUCG